ensembl:lncRNA
GUUCUAUUGGGGAUUUAGGUCUCCAAGACGACAGUUAAUAAAAUUAAAAUUAUUCUGCAUCUGUGUCAGGCAAGUUUCAGGUAGACCAGGACACGCUUAUACAAAAAAUAUAUGAAUACUAGAAUCUCAGGUACUUUUAGUUUAAUUAUACCGGCGCACUGCAUAAGGAUAAUGAUGUGUCUAGAAAGAAUGGGAGAGGCAGAAAGAGCUAUAGUUAGGGGAGAAAGUCAGUGGAAACAAAGAGAUGGUUAGAAAGUGACAGAGAGAGUGGCACUGAUGAAGAGAUGUGAUAGAGAGCCAAGAGGCAUACACAAAGGGAGAAGCUAAAGGGCAGACAGAAGAAGACAGUGAUGAGGACACAGAAAGAAAUGCUGGGGUAAUGUGACAUCAAGCUCACAGAUACAAGCAAGAGUCUUGUUCCACACAGUGACAUCUCCUGAGUUCUUGGAACUCCUUCCUUAGCCCCAUGUCUUCUUACUGGUAUGAAAUAUAAUUCAUAUUCUCCUUCUGCCUCUUUCCCAUACUAUGUAUGAAGCCCACCACAUGACAGUGUCCUUUAUUUUGUUUCUGGACACAGUUCAAGCACCCAGAAGCAUGAAUUGAUGCACAUUAAAUAUCCACUACAUAUUGAAAUAACAGCAGUAAGUGGCAGUUAGUGACACUGGCUGAGGUUAACGUGGGUGAGGAAUGGCAGUGUUCUAAGUCAGUGUUUUCUGAACUUUAAGAACUAUAGCUAAGUUUUACCGUAACUCAACUGCUUGGCUACCUGGUUUUCAAGAAAAGGACUGGACACGGACUUUGAUGCUAAGAGAGCAUUCCUCCCGUUGUAGUGACUGAGAACCUCAGCCUCUGUAGCAACUGAGGUAACCUGCUUCAUCCUUCUCUUCAAGAGUACUGUUGACCUCACUGUUUCUGUAUAAGAUCUUGUAGCUUAAAGUCGGUCACAGUGUAUUGUUGGAGACUAAGAGUUCUGAUACUUUGAGCUUCCUCUGCCUUCACUUUAAACAUUCAUAUUGAAAUGAUCAUACUUUCACAGGAAUUUGUGAAGAAAUAGUAAGAUUCUCAAGCACCCAUCAUCCAGUCUCCCCACACAUGAGCACCUUCGUAACUACAGUACCUUGGUGUUAAUACAGAGUACCAGGCUCAUUCACAUUUCAUCACAGAUGCAAUUACAUGUUCAUGUGUACAUACAGCUCUACACAACUAUAUCUCAUGUACAGAUUCAUAUAAACACCACCCAAAUCAAGUUUUAAUUAUCCCAUCAGCACAAGUCUCCUUCUGAGGAUCAGUCCCUUAGUGACUGGCUUUUGUCAACUUGACACAAACUAGAGUCACCCAGAAGGAAUUGAGAGGGAAACUCAAUUGAGGAAAUACCUCCACCAGAUGGGUUAUUGGUAUACCUAUGGGCUGUCUUUUUUAAAUUAUUGAUUGAUAUGGGAAGGCCUAGCCCACCAUGGGUGGUGACAUUCCUAGGCAGGUGCUCCUUGGAGGUAUAAGAAGGGUAGCCUGGAAACAAAUCAGCAACAUUCCUUCAUGGCCACUGUUUCAGUUCAUGCCUCCAGAGUCCCUGAGCUCCUGCCCUGGAUGAUAGACUGUUAACUGAAGUAUAAACCAAGUAAUCCCUUUUCUCCUCGAGGUGUUUUAUUCAGGUUUAUCAUAGCAUCAGAAAGGAGACCAAAACAGUCCCUUUGUAAAGAUACUCUAGAGUCAGGUAAACCUUGCUGCAGUACAUCACCCUCAGACUUCUGGCUGAAUAAGGACUUUGGGAGUGGAAAGGUCACACCUGAUAUUAAACUUCGGUCACCAUGGUAAGUUCAACACUUAGUCUUGUUUGCAUUGACUUCCAGGGAGUCUCCAAGGAGAAAAUACCUUUCUUCUGCAGCUUCAUUUCUACCUGUAUCAUCUCAUGCACAAGGAGCUCUAGACUACACAGCAGGACAUAUAAAAGGCUCUUUAGAUGUGAAAGAAUAUCAUGAAGCCAUUAGCCAACCAGCCUGACUAGGGAGGGUGACCUUUGUUGCAGGUGACCAGGGAGGCUGGCCUUUGUUGCAGGUGACCAGUGAGGGUGGCCUUUGUUGCAGGUGACCAGGGAGGCUGGCCUUUGUUGCAGGUGACCAGGGAGGCUGGCCUUUGUUGCAGGUGACCAGGGAGGCUGGCCUUUGUUGCAGGUGACCAGGGAGGCUGGCCUUUGUUGCAGGUGACCAGGGAGGCUGGCCUUUGUUGCAGGUGACCAGGGAGGCUGACCUUUACUGUUGAACAGUGUCUUCACGACAACAGCAGACUUUGUCAGAACAGCUUGACCACUGGUAACCGAC